rnacentral:rRNA from 1 species
UACGAAGGGGGCUAGCGUUGUUCGGAAUUACUGGGCGUAAAGCGCGCGCAGGCGGCCAUUCAAGUCAGGGGUGAAAGCCAGAGCUCAACUCUGGAACUGCCCUUGAAACUGUAUGGCUUGAGUAUGAGAGAGGUGAGUGGAAUUCCCAGUGUAGAGGUGAAAUUCGUAGAUAUUGGGAAGAACACCGGUGGCGAAGGCGGCUCACUGGCUCAUUACUGACGCUCAGGCGCGACAGCGUGGGGAUCAAACAGG